rnacentral:rRNA from 1 species
GGACUACUCGGGUUUCUAAUCCUGUUUGCUCCCCACGCUCUCGCGCCUCAGCGUCAGUAUCUGUCCAGGUAGCCGCCUUCGCCACUGGUGUUCCUUCCGAUCUCUACGCAUUUCACCGCUACACCGGAAAUUCCACUACCCUCUACAGUACUCUAGCCGUGCAGUAUAAAUUGCAGUUCCUAGGUUAAGCCCAGGGAUUUCACAAUUCACUUACACAACCGCCUACGCGCCCUUUACGCCCAGUAAUUCCGAUUAACGCUUGCACCCUCUGUAUUACCGCGGCUGCUGGCAC